rnacentral:rRNA from 1 species
UACAGAGGGUGCGAGCGUUGUUCGGAAUUACUGGGCGUAAAGCGUUUGUAGGCGGUGCUGAGAGUCCUAGGUGAAAUCCCCGAGCUCAACUCGGGAACUGCCUCGGAGACCUCAGUACUAGAGUACUGAAGGGGUUACUGGAAUUCCAUGUGUAGCGGUGAAAUGCGUAGAUAUAUGGAGGAACACCUGUGGCGAAGGCGGGUAACUGGUCAGAGACUGACGCUGAGAAACGAAAGCGUGGGGAGCAAACAGG